CCCCGGGCCCAUCAUGUCUGCUGCAGCUUGGCUCGCACCAGAGGCGCGACAAUAAACAAGUGCACUGGACUGGGCCCUGCACCCGCUCCGGAGCAGCUGUCUCAGAGACCCGGUGUUGCUUACCGCGUUGCCACCUCCUCGGCGCCCGGGAGGAAGACGCAACUUUCUCGGAGUUUUUUUUAGAGCCACCGGGCUGCCAGGACAAGCCACAGGCAUAGAACGACGCGGUUGCUGCCCGCCCCCCCCUUCCCCCAGAAACCCCAAAGGAUGUCGGUGAUAGAGAGUUCCAACUAAUGACGAUUGUGCGCCGCAUCUGGGGAAGGGAUACAGAAAAAAACCCUGCAAACACCGUGAGGAUGAAACUGCCAAAGGGAUGCAAGAGCCUCUCAAAUACUAAUUAGGGGCCGCGGCGGCGGCGGGCUCGGC
rnacentral:lncRNA from 1 species